rnacentral:rRNA from 1 species
AACGAACGCUGGCGGCGUGUUUAAGACAUGCAAGUCGAACGGGUUGAAGUUGUAGCAAUACCGCUUCAACCAGUGGCGCACGGGUGCGUAACACGUGAGUUACAUGCCCUGCAGUGGGGAAUAGCCCGCCGAAAGGCGGAUUAAUACCCCAUGGUCCCGCAAGGGUAAAGGUGGCGCAAGCUGUCGCUGCAGGAUUGGCUCGCGGCCUAUCAGCUAGUUGGCGAGGUAACGGCUCACCAAGGCGACGACGGGUACCUGGUCUGAGAGGAUGAUCAGGCACACUGGAACUGAGACACGGUCCAGACACCUACGGGUGGCAGCAGUCGAGAAUAAUUCACAAUGGGGGAAACCCUGAUGGUGCAACGCCGCGUGGAGGAUGAAGGUCUUCGGAUUGUAAACUCCUGUCAUCGGGGAGUAAGACCUGACGGUAAAUAGCCGGCAGGGUUGAUAGUACCCGAAGAGGAAGGGACGGCUAACUUCGUGCCAGCAGCCGCCGUAACAC